UACGUAGGGGGCAAGCGUUGUUCGGAAUUACUGGGCGUAAAGGGCGCGUAGGCGGCACAGCAAGUCGGGAGUGAAAGCCCGGGGCUCAACCCCGGAAUGGCUUUCGAAACUGUUGAGCUAGAGUACAGAAGGGGCAACCGGAAUUCCCAGUGUAGCGGUGAAAUGCGUAGAUAUUGGGAAGAACACCUGAGGCGAAGGCGGGUUGCUGGGCUGAUACUGACGCUGAGGCGCGAAAGCCAGGGGAGCAAACGGG
rnacentral:rRNA from 1 species